rnacentral:sRNA from 1 species
GAUAACGGAAUUUAAAAUUUUGUUUUUACUGAAUUCUACAUUCCGGUUACGGUCGAGAGACGUUCGGUAAUCAUUUGCCAAAACAAAACAGCUGACACGUUUUCCUAUAUUUAUGGUAUGUCUACGGGAGCAUAACCAGGCCUUAAUUCCAAUUUUAUUAAAUUUUUGUAGUUAAAAUUUCAUGAAAUAUUUUCGGCGCUUUCCAUGAUAACCAUGUGGAUUACCACCGUGAUAAUCGUAAUGACCAUGAAAAUCGUAAUGUUCAUGUGGAGGUUGUGGUGGUGGCCCGUAUGCAGGAUAUAGUACAUGAUGAUCGUUGGGAACUUGUCCAUAGUAAACUCCAUGUGCAUGGGGUGGUGGCAGAACUCCAUGGUCAUAGUGUUCAUGAUGGUGAUAUUGGCACAUUGCAAUGCCAAAUAGUGUCAAAAGGAGUUGGCGCAUUUUAAAUAAUCGCUUAAGGGAUUUUCUUUGUUGAUGCGUUCGAGAAGACCACAAUUGAGCAACUGCAAGUCAUCUGCCAUCAUUUGUACCUUUCCAGCUACGAGUUUAAGGAAAACAAACAAAUUCAUUGGAAUAGCACUUUCGACAAAUUCGAGGAAAUUUGGAAAUUGGUGCCAGGGUUAAAAAUAAACAAAGGUUGUAAAAAUUUAAUUUUACCUGCGUAAA